CGUGCAUGAAACAUGUAAGUCGAGCGCGGUGCAAAAUGGAGUAAUCCGCUUUGCAUCUAGCGGCGAACGGGUGAGUAACACGUGAGCAACCUACCUUCGAGUUCGGGAUAGCCCUGAGAAAUCAGGAUUAAUACCGGAUGUGGUCACGUCAAGACAUCUUGAUGUGAGUAAAGACGCAAGUCGCUCGUUGACGGGCUCGCGGCUUAUUAGCUUGUUGGUGGGGUAACGGCCUACCAAGGCGCUGAUGAGUAGCUGGUCUGAGAGGACGAUCGGCCACACUGGGACUGUGACACGGCCCAGACUCCUACGGGAGGCAGCAGUUAGGAAUUUUCCGCAAUGGGCGCAAGCCUGACGGAGCAACGCCGCGUGAGUGAUGAAGGCCUUCGGGUUGUAAAGCUCUGUCGGAUGGAACGAAGAUCUGACGGUACCAUCCAAGAAAGCCCCGGCUAACUACGUGCCAGCCGCCGCGGUAA
rnacentral:rRNA from 1 species